ACCCCACGGGCCUCAUCUAAUCAUACCCAGGCUGCCUCGCUGCCUCUCCCCAGUUCCUCCCAUGCCUGGAGCCCAGUAGGGGUGCAGACCCGGGCACCCGGCCCACCCACUGCUCACCUGCCUUCUCCCACGCUCUCAUCAGAAAGGCUUCUCACUGGUGGCCCUGGUGAUAGUGGGGCUGGCCUGGGGUCUCAGACACUCACAGCAUGGAAUGGUACCUCCAGCUCCUGGCCUGCCUGGUGGGCAUCCUCCCUAUGGGAUCAUUUGUGAGAACUAAGAGAGAUACUACCGGGAACUUGCUCAACACAGAGGUGCACAGUGUGCCGGCGCAG